rnacentral:rRNA from 1 species
UACGAAGGGGGCUAGCGUUGCUCGGAAUCACUGGGCGUAAAGCGCACGUAGGCGGCUUCUUAAGUCAGGGGUGAAAUCCUGGAGCUCAACUCCAGAACUGCCUUUGAUACUGAGGAGCUUGAGUCCGGGAGAGGUGAGUGGAACUGCGAGUGUAGAGGUGAAAUUCGUAGAUAUUCGCAAGAACACCAGUGGCGAAGGCGGCUCACUGGCCCGGUGCUGACGCUGAGGUGCGAAAGCGUGGGGAGCAAACAGG